AUGAGACACAAACCACCACACAAGACUUCCCUUCAUAACUCAGAUGUCAUCACCGAAAACUUCUGCAUUCGUUUCCAUUACAGUCACCACCAUAAUCAUUUCCGGUGUAGACAUGGUUAUUUCCAUAUGGUGAACAAUGAUUAUACUCACUGGGAAAUGUGUGCAAUUGACAGAAGUGUUGAGCCUACAAUCAACAGUAACUAA